AUUGAACGCUGGCGGCAGGCUUAACACAUGCAAGUCGAGCGGAGAUGAGGUGCUAGCACCUUAUCUUAGCGGCGGACGGGUGAGUAAUGCUUAGGAAUCUGCCUAUUAGUGGGGGACAACAUUCCGAAAGGAAUGCUAAUACCGCAUACGUCCUACGGGAGAAAGCAGGGGAUCUUCGGACCUUGCGCUAAUAGAUGAGCCUAAGUCGGAUUAGCUAGUUGGUGGGGUAAAGGCCUACCGAGGCGACGAUCUGUAGCGGGUCUGAGAGGAUGAUCCGCCACGCUGGGACUGAGACACGGCCCAGACUCCUACGGGAGGCAGCAGUGGGGAAUAUUGGACAAUGGGGGGAACCCUGAUCCAGCCAUGCCGCGUGUGUGAAGAAGGCCUUAUGGUUGUAAAGCACUUUAAGCGAGGAGGAGGCCACUGAGACUAAUACUCUUGGAUAGUGGACGUUACUCGCAGAAUAAGCACCGGCUAACUCUGUGCCAGCCGCCGCCGUAACAC
rnacentral:rRNA from 1 species